rnacentral:rRNA from 1 species
GACGAAGGGGGCUAGCGUUGCUCGGAAUCACUGGUCGUAAAGCGCACGUAGGCGGGUCUUUAAGUCAGGGGUGAAAUCCUGGAGCUCAACUCCAGAACUGCCUUUGAUACUGAGGAUCUCGAGUCCGGGAGAGGUGAGUGGAACUCCGAGUGUAGAGGUGAAAUUCGUAGAUAUUCGGAAGAACACCAGUGGCGAAGGCGGCUCACUGGCCCGGUACUGACGCUGAUGUGCGAAAGCGUGGGGAGCAAACAGG